GGAGAGAUCGCAUAGUUGGUCUAGUGCGCAGAUUUGGAGAAUCUGUGUGGCCGCAAGGUCACCGAGGGUUCGAAUCCCUCUCUCUCCG
rnacentral:tRNA from 1 species